UACGUAGGGCGCGAGCGUUGUCCGGAAUUAUUGGGCGUAAAGAGCUCGUAGGCGGUUUGUCGCGUCUGCCGUGAAAGUCCGGGGCUCAACUCCGGAUCUGCGGUGGGUACGGGCAGACUAGAGUGAUGUAGGGGAGACUGGAAUUCCUGGUGUAGCGGUGAAAUGCGCAGAUAUCAGGAGGAACACCGAUGGCGAAGGCAGGUCUCUGGGCAUUAAUUGACGCUGAGGAGCGAAAGCAUGGGGAGCGAACAGG
rnacentral:rRNA from 1 species